rnacentral:rRNA from 1 species
UACGUAGGGGGCAAGCGUUGUCCGGAUUUAUUGGGCGUAAAGAGCUUGUAGGCGGUUUGUCGCGUCUGCUGUGAAAUUUCGGGGCUCAACCCCGAACUUGCAGUGGGUACGGGCAGACUAGAGUGUGGUAGGGGAGACUGGAAUUCCUGGUGUAGCGGUGAAAUGCGCAGAUAUCAGGAGGAACACCGAUGGCGAAGGCAGGUCUCUGGGCCAUAACUGACGCUGAGAAGCGAAAGCAUGGGGAGCGAACAGG